CCGUAGGUGAACCUGCGGAAGGAUCAUUACGGUGAGGUGGGCCCCAGGGGCCCGCACUUCCGUCUUAUUCCUUGCGUGUGGGGGCCUCCUGGGGGGGUGGCGGCCCCUCNGGGCCCAACCUCCCACCCGUGUUGCCCGAACCUAUGUUGCCUCGGCGGGCCCCGCGCCCGCCGACGGCCCCCCUGAACGCUGUCUGAAGUUGCAGUCUGAGACCUAUAACGAAAUUAGUUAAAACUUUCAACAACGGAUCUCUUGGUUCCGGCAUCGAUGAAGAACGCAGCGAAAUGCGAUAACUAAUGUGAAUUGCAGAAUUCAGUGAAUCAUCGAGUCUUUGAACGCACAUUGCGCCCUCUGGUAUUCCGGAGGGCAUGCCUGUCCGAGCGUCAUUGCUGCCCUCAAGCCCGGCUUGUGUGUUGGGCCCCCGUCCCCCUCUCCCGGGGGACGGGCCCGAAAGGCAGCGGCGGCACCGCGUCCGGUCCUCGAGCGUAUGGGGCUUUGUCACCUGCUCUGUAGGACUGGUGGGCGUUGGUCACCUCUUAUUCUUUCUACGGUUGACCUCGGAUCAGGUAGG
rnacentral:rRNA from 1 species